rnacentral:rRNA from 1 species
UACGUAGGUGGCGAGCGUUGUCCGGAAUUACUGGGUGUAAAGCGCGUGUAGGCGGCAGGCCAAGUCGGUGGUGAAAGCGCCCGGCUCAACUGGGCGAGGUCCAUGGAAACUGGUCAGCUGGAGGACGGUAGAGGCGAGUGGAAUUCCCGGUGUAGUGGUGAAAUGCGUAGAGAUCGGGAGGAACGCCUGUGGCGAAGGCGGCAUCCUGGACCAACACUGACACUGAGGAGCGAAAGCCAGGGGAGCAAACGGG